AGGGGGAGGAGCAUGGGUGGAGCCUGACCCAGCACCGGUGGACAUCUGCACUGGAUUUAGAUAAGUAACUGAAGUGGUUUUAACACCGCGGGAGAGGGAGCGCAAGGGAGGGGGGCACUGCAGGAGCCUAUAGUGCCAGGAAAACGGGUUUGUUUUGCUGGCACUAUAGACUCUCUUUAAAGCAUGUACUUCUUAUAUUGUUGCUGAGUGAGUUAUGAACCACGAAAACAGAGUUUGAUUGGCACAGUGCAUAUACUUUACAGAAACCCCUUUGUUUCACAGGUGUCUUCUGUUUGUGAACACAAAGAACAUUUCAGGCUCUUCUU